rnacentral:rRNA from 1 species
UACGGAGGAUGCGAGCGUUAUCCGGAUUUAUUGGGUUUAAAGGGUGCGCAGGCGGAACCAUAAGUCAGCGGUAAAAUGUCGGGGCUCAACCCCGGCCCGCCGUUGAAACUGUGAUUCUCGAGUGGGCGCGAGGCAUGCGGAAUGCGAGGUGUAGCGGUGAAAUGCAUAGAUAUCGCGCAGAACUCCGAUUGCGAAGGCAGCAUGCCAGCGCCUUACUGACGCUGAGGCACGAAAGUGUGGGUAUCGAACAGGAUUAGAUACCCUGGUAGUCCACACAGUAAACGAUGAAUACUGGCCGUUCGGGGAGAGUGAUCCCUGAGUGGCUGAGCGAAAGCGUUAAGUAUUCCACCUGGGGAGUACGCCGGCAACGGUGAA